UACGUAGGGGGCAAGCGUUGUUCGGAAUUACUGGGCGUAAAGGGUGCGUAGGCCGCACGGUAAGUCAGAGGUGAAAUCCCGGAGCUCAACUCCGGAAAUGCCUCCGAUACUGCCGUGCUUGAGGACUGGAGAGGAGUCUGGAAUUCACAGUGGAGCAGUGAAAUGCGUAGAUAUUGUGAGGAACACUAGUGGCGAAGGCGAAUCUCUGGACAGUUCCUGACGCUGAGGCACGAAGGCCAGGGGAGCAAACGGG
rnacentral:rRNA from 1 species